rnacentral:misc_RNA from 1 species
AUCCCAAUAAUACCACUUGAAAAGUUGUCAGAAGUUACGGGAUCAACUAAGUUUUGCUAUGAUACACAAAACUGGGGCAGGGAUUACCAAGGAUGACGGCUAAAGCAACAGACUGACUAGACUAUAUUAGAAGAGAACCAGCACCGCCAAUACCCCAAAUCCCAAAACCAUAAGACUCAAAAGUAUGUUACUAGCCAACCUUAAGCUAUACAGGGUAUAAGAAUGG